AACGAACGCUGGCGGCAGGCUUAACACAUGCAAGUCGAGCGCACUCUUCGGAGUGAGCGGCGGACGGGUUAGUAACGCGUGGGAACGUGCCCUUCUCUAAGGAAUAGCCACUGGAAACGGUGAGUAAUACCUUAUACGCCCUUCGGGGGAAAGAUUUAUCGGAGAAGGAUCGGCCCGCGUUAGAUUAGAUAGUUGGUGGGGUAACGGCCUACCAAGCCUACGAUCUAUAGCUGGUUUGAGAGGAUGAUCAGCAACACUGGGACUGAGACACGGCCCAGACUCCUACGGGAGGCAGCAGUGAGGAAUCUUGGACAAUGGGGGAAACCCUGAUCCAGCCAUGCCGCGUGAACGAUGAAGGCCUUAGGGUUGUAAAGUUCUUUCGCCUGGGAAGAUAAUGACGGUACCAGGUAAGAAGCCCGG
rnacentral:rRNA from 1 species